GGAGGAUUCUGGGAAAUGUAGGAAAAGGAAAGAGUCACCAUGUGAUCCCAGGAAGAGAUGACAGCAUCCUCGCCCUUUGCAGAUAUUUCCUCCCCCUCCAUCCUGGGUUGAAUUGAUGAACUAUCCCUGACAAACUUGACGUCUCAUCCUAAGGGUAUUUUUCCUUAACUUCCAUCCCCUGGAUUGCCGAUGAGUUGUCUGACUCCCAACAUUGUGUUGAGAUGUGGUCGUCUACCUGCUGGGCUGAAUGUAGCUCAUCCCUGUUUGGAAAUCUGCACGGAUACCUCUGACCAAUGCACUCCUGUCUCCUGGAUAAAGAAGUCACCCUCCAGGAGCUGCAGGCUCCUCCUUCCCACAUCUGAUCCUCACAAUUUAGUAACUCCUCCCUGCUUCGUUAUUGCUGUGUAA
rnacentral:lncRNA from 1 species